rnacentral:rRNA from 1 species
UGCAAGUCGAACGCGCAGUUCGGUGUAGCAAUACAUCGGAUGGGCGCGUGGCGAACGGGUGCGUAACACGUGGAUAACCUUCCUUCAGGUGGGGAAUAACCCAGCGAAAGUUGGGCUAAUACCGCAUAACAUUACGAGGGCACAUGCUCUUGUAUUCAAAGGCGCAAGUCGCCAGAAGAGGGAUCCGCGGCCGAUUAGCUAGUUGGCGAGGUAAUGGCUCACCAAGGCAAUGAUCGGUAUCCGGACUGAGAGGUUGGCCGGACACACUGGAACUGAGACACGGUCCAGACUCCUACGGGAGGCAGCAGUGGGGAAUCUUGCGCAAUGGGCGAAAGCCUGACGCAGCAACGCCGCGUGGGGGAUGAAGCUUCUCGGAGUGUAAACCCCUUUCGACCCGGACGAAUGCCCGCAAGGGUUUGACGGUACGGGUAUAAGAAGCCCCGGCUAACUACGUGCCAGCAGCCGCGGUAAUACGUAGGGGGCCAGCGUUGCUCGGAAUUACUGGGCGUAAAGGGUCCGUAGGCGGUGUGGCAAGUCGGGAGUGAAAUCUCUGGGCUUAACUCAGAGGCUGCUUCCGAAACUGCCGUGCUAGAGUGUGAGUGAGGCGAGUGGAAUUGCGGGUGUAGCGGUGAAAUGCGUAGAUAUCCGCAGGAACAUCCGAGGCGAAAGCGGCUCGCUGGAUCACAACUGACGCUGAGGGACGAAAGCUAGGGGAGCAAACAGGAUUAGAUACCCUGUAGUCCUAGCCCUAAACCAUCAGACUUGGGGUUUGCCCUGUACGGGGCAAGUCCCGUAGCUAACGCGUUAAGUCCUGCGCCUGGGGAGUACGGUCGCAAGACUGAAACUCAAAGGAAUUGACGGGGGCCCGCACAAGCGG